GGACCCGCACAAGUAGUGGAGCAUGUGGUUUAAUUCGAAGAUACGCGCAGAACCUUACCAACACUUGACAUGUUCGUCGCGACUCUAAGAGAUUAGAGUUUUCGGUUCGGCCGGACGAAACACAGGUGCUGCAUGGCUGUCGUCAGCUCGUGUCGUGAGAUGUUGGGUUAAGUCCCGCAACGAGCGCAACCCUCACUUUUAGUUGCCAUCAUUUAGUUGGGCACUCUGAAAGAACUGCCAGUGAUAAGCUGGAGGAAGGUGGGGAUGACGUCAAGUCCUCAUGGCCCUUACGUGUUGGGCUACACACGUGCUACAAUGGUGGUGACAAUGGGUUAAUCCCAAAAAGCCAUCUCAGUUCGGAUUGGGGUCUGCAACUCGACCCCAUGAAGUCGGAAUC
rnacentral:rRNA from 1 species